AGAGUUUGAUCCUGGCUCAGGACGAACGCUGGCGGCGUGCCUAAUACAUGCAAGUCGAACGAAACUUUCUUACACCGAAUGCUUGCAUUCACCGUAAGAAGUUGAGUGGCGGACGGGUGAGUAACACGUGGGUAACCUGCCUAAAAGAAGGGGAUAACACUUGGAAACAGGUGCUAAUACCGUAUAUCUCUAAGGAUCGCAUGAUCCUUAGAUGAAAGAUGGUUCUGCUAUCGCUUUUAGAUGGACCCGCGGCGUAUUAACUAGUUGGUGGGGUAACGGCCUACCAAGGUGAUGAUACGUAGCCGAACUGAGAGGUUGAUCGGCCACAUUGGGACUGAGACACGGCCCAAACUCCUACGGGAGGCAGCAGUAGGGAAUCUUCCACAAUGGACGCAAGUCUGAUGGAGCAACGCCGCGUGAGUGAAGAAGGUCUUCGGA
rnacentral:rRNA from 2 species